rnacentral:misc_RNA from 1 species
UUCUUGCAAGAUCGAUGGCAGCUCGUCCAUAGGAAGAUUCUCCCUCCCUGAGGAAGGUACAAGCCUUGAUGGUGCGGUUCGCCCCCGAGCUGGAGCGGAGACCCUAGAAGGUUCUGGUCGUGCGCUUGGACCAACCACCUCUACUUCAUCAGACGACCAUGAAACAUGGACGGAAGGUGGGCUUGCCGCUCUCUGACCUUCGGCGCCGCUCAUUUUAAGGAAAACAAAGAACUUAAAGCUAAAAGAAGGAUUAAAACCCUUACCGGAGCUUGAACGGAGUCGGAAGAGCUUGAAAAAUCGGGAGAGUUUUGGAAUUGCUUGCGAGAGACAGAAAAUGGCAUAAAGUGAGAAAUUGGCUAACCCCUACCCCUAUUUAUACUCGUUCGAGCAUUUAAUACUCACGAUGUCCCAGGCAAUGCAUCGGUUAACGGGAUUCGUCAGCUGUUCUGACAUGUCUCUCGAACACUCCAAAUUCCAUAAAGAGAACGGCUAAUUAGAGAUCGGCAUAUUAAGAUAAAUGUUUCGAAUUGUGGAUCAGUUAAGGGUUGUUCAGUUAGGAACCAGAUCGGAUAAACACAUCAGAGAUCGGAAAAUAAUCAAUGCA